AAGUUUUUUUUUUUUUUUUUUUAAAAGGUACCGCAGUAACACACCCAACGUCUUCUAAGAAGCCUUCUAAAUUUUGAGACCUUCAGCUUCCCAGGACUGUUUUCUGUUUUCUGCGUAAUCAGUUGAUGUCUUGAGUGUGCAAAAAGAAAUCCAGAACUAUAAGCACAAGUUCCAGAACCCAACUCUAUGAGAUAAACUAGUCCACUGCAAAUGUAACAGCACACCAACAAAUUCAUGAUUUACAACAGUUCACAGUGCACAGUGCUCAGCACACCUAAUAAUGAACCUUCUCAUCAUUGUCAAAGUUCAGCCCCUCGAUUCCCUUGAGAGCAGAUUCAUAGGUCUUCAUGUGCGUGGCAUUUCUGGCUGAUGACGAACGUCUGGGGUCUGCUGCAGAACCAAGAGGACUCCUUUGCCCACUUGAAAUUUUAUGCAUGUUUCCCGGGCUUGCAUCAGUUGUGCGAGACCGUUGGGGAUCAGCUUCACUUCCAACAAAUAUAUCACGACUGGUAGAAACGGUAGCAGCUUGUCUCGAGGAUCGACUUGAUCGCCCCAUAAAAGUAGAGCUUGGCAACAUGGGAUCCUUAUUAAGUGAAGAAUCAUUGGCAACUGGGCUCUUCUGCUUUGCAUAACCUCCGGUACUUAGGAUAGGUCCUGAAAAUCUACGCCGAGCAGAAUCUGUAGACUGCCCUGCCUGUCGUGCAUCUUCCCCACCUAGAACAAGGUGUAGAAGAAAGUAUAAACCACAAGCAGAUCUCAAAGCAAAAAUUUCAACUUCUCUUUACAACUUGGAGAUACAAGGCCAGCUAUUCUUUAUUGAUUGAAGAUUAUCUGUACAAGUUCGAGUGGUGACAAGUAAGCUCAAUUUCAUCUGGAUUCCAAGUUCAUUUCUUGCCAAGUAAAUCUGUAUACAAUACAAGAAACAAGAAAAGGAAUGCAAACUAUAGUAGUAAUUUUGUCUUCCAUCAUGAAGGAUGAGGCCCCAGUCCUAGGCCCAAAAAAAGCUGCACGUUAGUGGGGGCUUUUCAUGGCACUAGGCCAGCUCAACAGUGAAGCAGGUUUGGUAUGUUAGCUCAUAUGGAGCCAAUCCACCCAUUUAAUAAAAUAUUACAAUUUUUAUUUUUUGAUCUAAUACAUGCAUUUUGCAUAGUCAUU
rnacentral:misc_RNA from 1 species